rnacentral:lncRNA from 13 species
AUAGUGAUUUAUUGGUUAUCACGUGUGCAUGUAUUUGUGAUUGCUACUCGUUUAGCUAACCUUGCAUGGAUAUUUGGUUGUAUGGGAGCUAGCUAAGCUAAGCUAACUCAUAGGGAACUAACGUGUUUACAAAAUGUAGAAGCACGUGUCACUAUGAAUAGGUGCUACACAGUCUCUCAUGAAGAAACGCUCUCUUAGUACAUUAGCGAAGUGCACGCAUGCCUAUAACCACUUAGCUAACUAGCUCGAUCAUUAUUACCUGUCACGUUACACAACUAUGCUGCAUUGUUUGAAUCCUCAGAAACGACUGUGCAACGGAGCGGGAGUCUGCGUCCAGGUUGAACAUGGCGGGAUGGUGACUGACGGUGCCAUGGAUGCCAGCAUGCAACAGCAGGGUGUCCCAAACAGCGGUGUCGGCAUCAACCACCCAGCUUCUAACAUGGUCUAUGCAGUCCAAGGCAGCCAACGUUGUAAUCGGUGCCUGGCAGGAGAGCCCGUAAGUAGUGUCCUGAUUUUUUUGCCUGAACAUAUCCCAGUAGUGACUGAUAUCAUAUGUCAGUGUCUAGGCCUAUAACCCAGCAUUUUGUACAAGCCAUCCCAGAAACACCUAAACAAAUGUAUCAUCAGUGGCAAUUGUGGAUUUAACAGCUUUAGCACAUAUAGUCAAACAUUCCUUAUAACUAAUAUGGGAUUUAUGUCUCUUACUUUGAGGACAAUUGUUGCACCUAUAAAAUCAACGUAAUAAAAGAUGGCUAUUUUAGAAAAAGGUUGGCCCUCGGGCUAAAGAACCUACCAUAUUGACCAUGGAGCCCUUUGCUCUUCAUGCUCACCUCGGGUCGAGUCGGCGUUCUGGAUUUUCUAAUGUUAAACGGGUUAAUCAGUCCCUCCAGGUUUCUGCAAUUCUUAUUUUUUUAUUCAUUUAUUUAUUGCUAAAUCAAUAAUUCCCUGCGUAUUAUGCGGGGGGCUUGUAAAUUUGACCAAUCACUGCACUCUUUCCACAUGCAACAGUCAAAUCAUCGCAAUGUUGUCACACAAACCAGGCCCAUCACCGCAGUACAAAAAUAGGGCCUGCAAUUUCAACCAAUCAGAGUAUAUUUACUGCAUAAUAUGUUUAAAUGAAGCCACACAUCAACAAAUCUUAUCUUCCCCCCCCCAUCGUCAGCGCAGUUUCAUGACAAAUUGGACUAAAUCAUAGCCAUGCAAAAUGUCAGGACUGCCGCAGCAAAAUCAAGCCGUUUGCUCUGCAAAAAUCCCAUCAAAAUGCUGGAGGGACUGAUUAAUGAACAUGACAUGGGAUCAGUCCCAAAUGGCACCCUAUUCCCUAUGUAGUGCACUACCCUAUUUCCUAUGUAGUGCACUACCCUAUUCCCUAUGUAGUGCACUACCCUAUUCCCUAUAUAGUGCACUACCCUGUUCCCCACGAAGUGCACUAUAUAGUGGAGAGGGUGCCAUUUGGAAUGCUACCAUCAUGUAAACUGUUUAUUCCGUAAAGAUUACCUGUGUCACAUAAUGAGUCUCUUCUCAGGGCCACAUUAACCACAUCAUGGGGUAUUGAUCGGUUAUCGUCAUGAUCAGAGAUCGUUUGAAGACCUGAAGGAUCCUUGAGGAUGAAGAGAAUGAUCGAUUGAUUGAGUGCUUGAUCAAGCCAUUGUGUAUGUGGCUGUGAACCGUUUUAUCAGUGUGCCUUGCCUUUUCUAGCUGUUAUUAACCACAAACACUGUACUGCUUCAUGUACAGCCUCGCAUGUUUCCACUACCUAACACUGGUAUGGGGGAAAUGGCUACUAACCAGACAGUAGACAUGAUGAUUUCAUACCGUCUCACUAACAUUCUGUUUGAAUGGAAAGAUAACCACUACAGUGUAGUCUACACACAACCAUAAGGAAGGAGCCAUCAAGCCACAAUUAAUACUGUAACUUUACACUGUAAUGUGGAUACUCCUUUAAAGUCAAUGGAUGUGUUUUUAAAAAAUAAAAAUAAAUACUUAUUGUCCCAGUAUCAAGACUGCUUUCUAAAGCUGCCAGAAAAUAUACAUGUAAAUAGUAAUAUUGAUAAGUAAAAACUUUUUAAAGUUAUAAUUGUUAACCUUUUUUUAAAUGGAUAAUCCUGUCUGCAAAUAUAUUUUUGUGAAAUAAAUAUUUUAUAUAUUUUUCUAAAAUGUAAUUGGCUGAAUAUAAAAUAAGAAGUUUGGUAACUAAUAUUUGUGCUAAUCGUUUAAUUUUGGAUAGUGUCCUGAAAUGUGUUAAUCUCAUGAACGUUUUCAGCCGGUUUUCAAUGGUUUGAUCUACACUUGAAAUGUUGAGCCGUUUUGACAAUGAUUUGUCUGUUUCCCACUAGAUUUGGUUUUGUGUCGUCUUAGAAUGAUUUGUCUGUUUCCCACUAGAUUUGGUUUUGUGUCGUCUUAGAAUGAUUUGUCUGUUUCCCACUAGAUUUGGUUUUGUGUCGUCUUAGAAUGAUUUGUCUGUUUCCCACUAGAUUUGGUUUUGUGUCGUCUUAGAAUGAUUUGUCUGUUUCCCACUAGAUUUGGUUUUGUGUCGUCUUAGAAUGAUUUGUCUGUUUCCCACUAGAUUUGGUUUUGUGUCGUCUUAGAAUGAUUUGUCUGUUUCCCACUAGAUUUGGUUUUGUGUCG